ensembl:snoRNA SNORD21 Small nucleolar RNA SNORD21
GCUACAUGAUGAUACUUGCAGUGACUGAACACGCUGUAGUUGGUCCACAGCGUGUGUCUGAUGUACUGCAGUGUUUCAAGACGGGACUGAUGGCAGC